rnacentral:lncRNA from 1 species
AGGGACCUAUAGGGAUUUAUAGGGACCUAUAGAGAUCUGUAGAAAACAUAGAGACUCGUAGGAGCCAUAGAAACUUAUGGAAGAUGUAAGGACCCAUGUAAACAGACCCAUAGGAACCCAUAGGAGACACACAGAUCCACAAAGCUCCAUUAAAACAUAAAGAAAGACACAGGGACCCAUAGGGAACUACAGAAAUCUAUAGGAGACACAGGGAUCCCGGGGACCCAUAGGAACCCAUCGGAGACAAAGGGACCCAUAUAGGGCAGAUGGGGCCAUAUAGGGCAGAUGGGGCCAUAUAGGGCAGUUAGGGGCCCAUAUAGGGCAGAUGGGGCCAUAUAGGGCAGUUAGGGGGCCCACAUUGGGCACCUAGAGGCCCAUAUGGGACACUUAGGGAGCCCAUGGAGCUGCUUUAGGGCCGAGGGAAUCCCUCGGGGCGCACUCCCUCAUCCCAAACCCCCUCAGAACCACCACGAGGAGCUGCCCCUCCCCAUUCCUCCCACUCACCGCUACGGGGCGAAGUGGAGCACGGGGAAUGGAUCCCUCUACCACCACGGGGCGGCUAUGGGGCGGCUAUGGGGCGGCUAUGGGGCGCGCACCGCGCGCUGGGCCCAGGCUCAGCUCUCCACAGCGAAGGGCGUGGCCGCGCCGCCUUCCCGCCCUCCGCGCUCUCAGCCAAUCAGCGCCCGCCUCCCUUCGCGCCCGACGCCGCCGCCACGCGCACGGCCGUUAGCCCCGCCCCCGCCCUCCCGGCGCGCGUGCGCGUGCGCGGCCAUGACGUCACAUCCGCCUCAGCCCUCCUCUCGCAGCCAAUCGGAGCGCGGCUACGGCGCGCGGGCCAAGGGCCGGGGUCAAGGGUCAGAGCUCAGCCAAGAUGGCGGCGGCGGCGCCGGGGCGGCGGCGGCCGGUGCUGCUGCUGCUGCUCGGAGCCGUUUAUCUCGGGCUCAGCGCGGCCGUGGAUCGGAGCAACUUCAAAACGUGCGAGCAAAGCAGUUUCUGCAGGCGGCAGCGCAGUUUCCAACCCGGCCGCUCUCCGUACCGAGCGCUGUUGGAUUCGUUGCAGCUCAGCCCCGAAUCCGUCACGGUGCAGGUGGUCAAUGAGGCCACCAAGGUCCCGUUGCAGUUGGAGCUGCAGGCUCUGCACUCCAACAUCACCCGCCUGCGGCUCCGGGAGCUGCGCCCGCUGCGCCCGCGCUACGAGGUGCCCGACGUGCUGGUGGGAGACCUCCCCCAUCCCGAGCCGCUGUCGGUGUCAGGCCGUGACGAGGGCAGCGUGGAGCUGUCGUGGGGGGGUCCUGGGGGUCUCCGGCUGCUGCUGACGGCGCAGCCUUUCCGCCUGGAUGUUCUGCAGGGCUCUGAGCCCCUCUGCAGCGCCAACGCCCGCGGGCUGCUGCUCUUUGAGCACCUCCGACAGCGGCCCGGGCAGCAGCAAGGGUGAGUCUGACCCCCCCUUACGUAAAACACCCCCUAAGCACGUGGGAAUGGGCCUGAAGUGUCCCUAAGUGCCCUGAAAAGCACCCAGAAUGGCCUUAAGUAACCUGAAAUGUGGCCAAAAUGUCUCUAAAUGUCCCCAAAUACCCCCAAUAUGCCCAAGUGUUUUGAGAACCCUCCCCAAAAUACGCCCCCAGACACCCCCAAACACCCCCAAAUAUGCCUACAUGUUCUGAGAGUGAAUCUGACCCCCCUGUUAACAUAAAACACCCCCUAAGAACACAGGAAUGGCCCUGAAACGUCCCUAAAUGCCCUGAGAAGCACCCAGAAUGGCCUUAAAUGACC